UGGGGAAUAUUGCACAAUGGGGGAAACCCUGAUGCAGCGACGCCGCGUGAGCGAAGAAGGUUUUCGAAUCGUAAAGCUCUGUCCUAUGAGAAGAUAAUGACGGUAUCAUAGGAGGAAGCCCCGGCUAAAUACGUGCCAGCAGCCGCGGUAAUACGUAUGGGGCGAGCGUUGUCCGGAAUUAUUGGGCGUAAAGGGUACGUAGGCGGUCUAUUAAGUCAGGUGUGAAAGCGUGAGGCUUAACCUCAUUAAGCACUUGAAACUGAUAGACUUGAGUGAAGGAGAGGAAAGUGGAAUUCCUAGUGUAGCGGUGAAAUGCGUAGAUAUUAGGAGGAAUACCGGUGGCGAAGGCGACUUUCUGGACUUUUACUGACGCUCAGGUACGAAAGCGUGGGGAGCGAACAGG
rnacentral:rRNA from 1 species